ACAACUCACUUUAGCUGUUGGUGUUUCCUGUCUCUGACCUCUCGCCAGUCCAAAAGAGUCAAUCUCCGAAUGCAACGUAACAGAGAGAAGAGUAAAGAUAGAAAGCUCCUAAAGCUUAGCUCCAUAUAAAUUUACGGAUAAUUUGUUGUCUUGUCGUUAGCGAAAAACAAUAUUGUAGUUGAAAAAGGAGGCUCAUGAGAAUCCCAUUUCCUCCUAUGGAGUCCGUUCAUUCUCAUUAGGAGAUCGACACUUUUUGACUGACAAGAUGGCGGAUAGCGUAAACAAUAACUGCUAAAGUGAGUUGUACGAAACUUUUCUUUUUAGUAAACUCUGUGUAAACAAAAAAUGUUGUAGUUCAC